rnacentral:rRNA from 1 species
AUACGUAGGUGACAAGCGUUAUCCGGAUUUACUGGGCGUAAAGGGCGUGUAGGCGGUCUUGCAAGUCAGAAGUGAAAUUCCUGAGCUCAACUCGGGCGCUGCUUCUGAAACUGCAGGACUUGAGUGCUGGAGGGGAUAGCGGAAUUCCUAGUGGAGCGGUAAAAUGCGCAGAUAUUAGGAAGAACACCGGUGGCGAAGGCGGCUAUCUGGACAGUAACUGACGCUGAGGCGCGAAAGCGUGGGGAGCAAACAGGAUUAGAUACCCUGGUAGUCCACGCUGUAAACGAUGAAUACUAGGUGUGGGGGGACUGACCCCCUCCGUGCCGCAGUUAACACAAUAAGUAUUCCACCUGGGGAGUACGAUCGCAAGAUUGAAACUCAAAGGAAUUGACGGGG